rnacentral:misc_RNA from 1 species
AAGUCGUAACAAAGUCUCCGUUAGUGAACUAGCGGAGGGAUUAUUACCGAGUCCUAGCGGCUCCUAAACUAUACGAACCUACUACGUCGUCGCUUCGGCGGGUAGCUCUAAGGCGGAGCCUACGCCCCCUAAGGGGGGGUGCCCGCUGUAGGCCCCGAGACCCUAUCGCGUCCUAGCCCCUCUAAGUCUUACGGCGCGCGAGCGCUUAGUUAUAACCUUCAACAACGAAUCUCUUAGCUCUA